UCAGGACGAACGCUGGCGGCGUGCCUAAUACAUGCAAGUCGAACGGUCUUUCUAUGGAAGCUUGCUUCCACUGAGAAGAUAGUGGCGAACGGGUGAGUAACACGUGGGUAACCUGCCCAUAAGAGGGGGGAUAACAUCCGGAAACGGGUGCUAAUACCGCAUAGUUUCUUGAUCGCAUGAUCGGGAAAGGAAAGACGGCCUUUGUGCUGUCGCUUAUGGAUGGACCCGCGGCGUAUUAGUUAGUUGGUGAGGUAAUGGCUCACCAAGACGAUGAUACGUAGCCGACCUGAGAGGGUGAUCGGCCACAUUGGGACUGAGACACGGCCCAAACUCCUACGGGAGGCAGCAGUAGGGAAUCUUCCGCAAUGGACGAAAGUCUGACGGAGCAACGCCGCGUGAGUGAAAGAAGGUUUUCGGAUCGUAAAACUCUGUUGUCAGAGAAGAACAAGUUGGAGAGUAACUGCUCCAGCCUUGACGGUAUCUGACCAGAAAGCCACGGCUAACUACGUGCCAGCCGCCGC
rnacentral:rRNA from 1 species